AAAAACAUGUCUUUUUGAGAAUGAAAUUUAAAGUCGGGCCUGCCCACUGAAAAUGUUUGAAGGGCCGCGGUAUUUUGACCGUGCAAAGGUAGCAUAAUCAUUAGUCUUUUAAUUGAAGGCUGGAAUGAAUGGUUUGACGAGGUAUUAGCUGUCUCUUUAUAAAAUGUGGAAUUUAACUUUUGAGUUAAAAGGCUUAAAUGACAAUAGAGGACGAGAAGACCCUAUAGAGUUUUAUAUAGAUUUAUAGAUAAAUUUAUUUAGAGGUUGGAAUUUUUAUUUAUUUACUAUAUUAUGUUGGGGUGACAUAAAGAUAUAAGAAACUCUUUAUUAUUAAGUACAUAGGUUUAUGGAUAAUUGAUCCAUUAUUAGUGAUUAUAAGAUAAAAUUACCUUAGGGAUAACAGCGUAAUUUUUCUUAAGAGUUCAUAUCGAAAGAAAAGUUUGCGACCUCGAUGUUGGAUUAAGAUAAUGGUUAGGUGUAGCAGUUUAACUAAUAAGUCUGUUCGACUUUUAAAAUCUUACGU
rnacentral:rRNA from 1 species